UCUAACAGAUGAAUAGCAAAUUAUGCAGAAAAACAUCUGCAUUUUCUUCUGUAUUUAGUAUUAGGGUGGUUGUGUGUGUGUGUGUGUUCUGUUCAGAAAUAUCUUUAAGAAUAUGCUCUCUUUUUCUAAACCCUUUAUAUCUAUGUUCUUUUAUUCCAAAUGCUGAUCAUGAAUCAUCUGCAAAUGCUGAUCAUGAAUAACAAAGAUAAAUGCAUGUUGUAAAUGCUAUCUAAGAUUUUUAAUCAGUAUCCAAAAUGAAAACAUGGAUUAGGCUUCAUCUAAGAAUAUGCAUGCCACUUCAGGAAAAGAAUCAAAUUCUUCCAAUCAUGCAUAACUGAAAGUACUUGAUCAUCAUUUUAUGCUUUGCAGAUACCACAGUCCCAAUUGGUUGAAAUUAAUGCACAUUCUCUAUUCACCAAAUGGUUCUCUGAAAGUGGCAAGUUGGUUGCAAAGCUUUCCAAAAAAUUCAAGAGAUGGUAGAGGAGGAAAACCAAUCUGGUAUUUAUUUUGAUCGAUGAAGUUGAAAGCCUUGCUGCUACAAAAUCCGCUUUAUCGGGUUCUGAACCUUCAGAUUCUAUUCGGGUGGUGAAUGCGUUACUAACCUAGCUGGAAAAAUCGAAAUCAGCACCAAAUGUGAUGAUUUUGACAACAUCCAACAUAACUGCUGCUAUUGGUAAGACCGUAAGACUGCAGUCACUUUCUUACAUGCUAAUUGAAAAACCUCCUUGGAUUUGGUUGCCAUUUAUCUUUACCAGGAGCGGUAAUUUGUUGUUGGGAAAGAAUUGAUGCACUUCUUUUUCCCUCCCUGUAUAGAUCAGUUUAAUCUAUUUUUGA